GGCGGUUCGCCGCCGGCGACGUCGCGAGAAUUCCACUGAACCUUAUCAUUUAGAGGAAGGAGAAGUCGUAACAAGGUUUCCGUAGGUGAACCUGCGGAAGGAUCAUUGUCGAAACCUGCAUAGCAGAACGACCCGUGAACAUGUAACAACAACCGGGUGUCCUUGGUAUCGGACUCUUGUCUGAUUCUUUGGAUGCCUCGUCGAUGUGCGUCUUUGGCCUGCCCCUUGGGUUCCAAUUACGUCACGUUGGCACAACAACAACCCCCCGGCACGGCAUGUGCCAAGGAAAUUUAAACAUAAGAAGGGCUCGUACCAUGCAUCCCCGUUCGCGGGGUUUGCGUGGGAUGUGGCUUCUUUAUAAUCACAAACGACUCUCGGCAACGGAUAUCUCGGCUCACGCAUCGAUGAAGAACGUAGCAAAAUGCGAUACUUGGUGUGAAUUGCAGAAUCCCGUGAACCAUCGAGUUUUUGAACGCAAGUUGCGCCCGAAGCCUUUUGGUCGAGGGCACGUCUGCCUGGGCGUCACACAUCGCGUCGCCCCCACCAUUCCUCUCUGAUCGGGAUGAUGGGAAGGGGGCGGAUAUUGGUCUCCCGUUCCUACGGUGCGGUUGGCUAAAAUAGGAGUCCCCUUCGACGGACGCACGACUAGUGGUGGUUGACAAGACCCUCUUAUCGAGUCGUGCGUUCUCAGGAGUAAGGAAGAUCUCUUAAAAAACCCAAAGGUGUUGUCUUAUGAUGAUGCUUCGACCGCGACCCCAGGUCAGGCGGGACUACCCGCUGAGUUUAAGCAUAUCAAUAAG
rnacentral:rRNA from 1 species